UGCCGGCUGAAGUAAAGAAGCUCUGCUUCUUUCUGGGAAGGCCACUGACUGACGAGACAGUACAGGCAGUGGUCGGUGCGACACAGUUCGACUCCAUGAAAAAGACUUUUGGAGAAAAAGGACAAAGGAAUACAAGGAAGGGAGUCAUCGGAGACUGGAAGAACUACUUCAGUGACGACCAGAGCCGAGCUUAUGAUGAGCAGUACCGUGAGAGGCUGUCCAACACCGGGCUGGAAUUUCAAUUUGAGUAAUCAGUUAACAGCGAAAUCAUUAUUCCGUUUUUGACCUAACUGUAAAUCGAACAAAUUUUAAAGCAGUUUCAAAAUGGGCAAAUAUAACCAUAUAGUGCAAAAUAAGUCAAAGAAUGUCAAAGUCGAUUCCAAGGUCAAAGAUGUGAAAAACAAUAAUAAAGAAUAUGUUUUGUUCGGUAUAUCAUACUCUAAUUGUUCAUGGUCAUUCAAGCAGAGGUAGACCACGCAAAACACGUACAUCAAAUUUGUGAUGAUUCUGGCUGCUCGGCUGAAGAACUGCCCAAGGCUAUGGAGGAUAGGGAAGGAUGGAGGAAGAGAGUCAUGUUCAUCCGUGCAACCAGCACGCCUGAAUGAAGAUGAUAAUGAUAUGUUCGGUCAUUUGUUCAACCGUUUGUUCAAAUUUCUGACAACUUGUCAUGGUAGCCGGUUGUUUACACCCAUAUCUUUAUCAAAUUCAGUAGUUAAAAGCAUCGUACGUAUUUUGGAAUCUUGAAGAACAAGUCACACUAGUGUAGUUUUGUACAAGUCGAAAUAAAGUAUUUAGCUGAAUCACUGUGA